AUGUUCAGAAAGUGGUCUCCUGUACCAAUUAAUUCACGGGUACUUCCCACUUUGUCUUCUAAUAGGUUCAGUGUGGCUGGGUUUAUGUUGAGGUCUUUGAUCCAUUUUGACUUAAUUUUGUGCAUGGAGAUAGGCUUGGAUCUAUCUGUAGUCUUCUACUUGUCCGCAUCCAAUUAUGCCAGCACCAUUGUUGAAGAUGUUCUCUAUAACUCCCCUUGUCUUGGUUUCCCACACAGGGUCCUAGGAAGCUUGGAGCAUCUGCCUGAGCCUCUCAGCCAGUCAUGUGAAGUCUUAAGUGUCUAUGAAGAGCUCACAAAGCACCACAUUCAACAAAAGCAACAGGAGUUCACAAGAUGCCGAAGGAGCCUGGGAACAGACACACUGAAGCUGACAAGCAGAUGGUAGCAGCAGAUAUACAGCUGUGUGCGGCGGUCCACAGGGACAUCCUCAUAAAAAGAGGUGCCUUGAGAUUUCGGUUUCCUCAGAGGGGUCUGUGGUUCUUCCAUGAAUUUGGGCAAGAAUUAGUAACUGUAUUGACAAUGGUAGGCAAAUAAUACACGAGAGGCAUCCACAGCAGGAGAGACCAGAAGCUUCUGGGAGAGAAGCUGGUCCCAUCAUGCUCUCUGGCUCACAUCUGGCAACACUGAUUCAACUCUGUUAGAAGAUUGGGGGAGGGGCAAUAUUUGGACAGUGUAACUACACCCCUAUCCAUCUGCUGUAGCAGGAAGUAAAAAAAUUUAAAUCUGAUCCAUCUAGAAAACAGAACCUGCACAAAUUGUUGAGAUGUACAUAGCUAAUUACCAGAAAGGUCACCUUAAAGAUUGCAAGUGUUCUGGAAGGGGAGAAAUGAAGAAGCAGUGAAUUUUCACCAGAUUUUUGUGAUUGUUGUUGUCUUUAAGAUACAGCAUCACUGUGCAGUCCUGACUGGCCUGGAACUCACUAUGUAGACCAGUUUGGCAAUGAACUCAGAGAUGUGCCUGCCUCUGCCUCCUGAGUGCUGGGGUUAAAGAUUGCCACAAGCAGCCAUCGCUAGAAUUGUAUGUAUCCAUCACUAGGUAGAGUAUGUUACAUCACUGAUGCAGCCCCUCUGCAAACGAGAGCUACAGUUUUGGAAGAACAUAGAAAGCAGACUCUCCUUUCCCAGGAGCUGAGGUGGGGCUUUGUUUAGCUUGAGCUUGUGCACAUUGUCUCAACUACUGUGGGUUCACCUGCACAGCUACAAGAUGUGUCUGGACUGUAUUUGAGGGUUUUUUGUUGUUGUUGUUUUUUGUUUUUUAAGAAGACGCCAUUUGAGGAAGUUAGGGGUGUGUCAACGUGGGAGGAUUGGGGAGAAGAGAAGGACACAAUCAAAACACAUUGUAUGUAAUCCUCAAGACACUAGCAAAAAUGAGGGGAGGGAAAGCCCUAAAAGUGAAAGAAAAACCCACCAGAUAAUCCCUGUACAGUUAGCUAUUGUCACUUUUGUUUAUUGAAGUACUCAAUUUCCUUUAUGAAUUCUAAAACCAUAGGUUUGAAAAGCUAGAUAAAAUACACCCACAGACUUGAUUCUGAUAGUUGUCAAGCAAUAAAAGAUAUUUUUAAUGUUCA
rnacentral:lncRNA from 1 species